rnacentral:rRNA from 1 species
UACGAAGGGGGCUAGCGUUGCUCGGAAUCACUGGGCGUAAAGGGUGCGUAGGCGGGUCUUUAAGUCAGGGGUGAAAUCCUGGAGCUCAACUCCAGAACUGCCUUUGAUACUGAAGAUCUUGAGUUCGGGAGAGGUGAGUGGAACUGCGAGUGUAGAGGUGAAAUUCGUAGAUAUUCGCAAGAACACCAGUGGCGUAGGCGGCUCACUGGCCCGAUACUGACGCUGAGGCACGAAAGCGUGGGGAGCAAACAGG